CGGGGUGUAGCAUAAUGGUAGUGUACACGGUUUGGGACCGUGCGGCCCGGGUUCGAUUCCCGGCUCCCCGA
rnacentral:tRNA from 1 species